rnacentral:rRNA from 1 species
AAUAUUGGACAAUGGGCGCAAGCCUGAUCCAGCAAUGCCGCGUGUGUGAAGAAGGCCUGCGGGUUGUAAAGCACUUUUAUCGGGAAAGAAAAGCUUGAGGUUAAUACCCUCUAAGCCUUGACGGUACCCGUUGAAUAAGCACCGGCUAACUCAGUGCCAGCAGCCGCGGUAAUACUGAGGGUGCAAGCGUUAAUCGGAAUUACUGGGCGUAAAGCGAGUGUAGGCGGCUAUAUAAGUCGGAUGUGAAAGCCCCGGGCUUAACCUGGGAAUUGCAUUCGAUACUGUAUGGCUAGAGUUUGGUAGAGGGAAGUGGAAUUCCAGGUGUAGCGGUGAAAUGCGUAGAGAUCUGGAGGAACAUCAGUGGCGAAGGCGGCUUCCUGGAUCAAAACUGACGCUGAGGCUCGAAAGCGUGGGGAGCAAACAGGAUUAGAUACCCUGGUAGUCCACGCCCUA